rnacentral:lncRNA from 1 species
CUUUUCCUCCCCUCUCUCUCUCUAUCUGUCUCACUACAGGUGCAGUCAUGGUGAUCGUUCUCUGGGGAAGCCAAGGACUGAAGUUUAGUUUUUUUGUUUAUCCUUUCUACGCAGUAUGUUGUCUCUCAAUAGUUGAAGAAAAUCAUAUACAUGUGAUAUGUUUUGGUGGGAGUGUAACUGCCUCUGUGUCAGUCAGCGCAGUAUUUCUGAGUUAUUUAUUUUGGUAGGAACCAAAGUUCUCUAAGGCGGAACCUUUGUUUUUGUAUCGCCCGUUUCCGUCAGGACAUACUUUAGCGUAACACUCAUCAAAAAAGUCCGCUGAUUUAGUACAUGUUUUUCAGUGCUGAUGCAUCUGCAAAAUAGCUCUUAGCAUCAAGAUAAACAAUCCUACAGAGUAAUGCCAAGCUACACAACUUUCCUCAUGCAAUGCAGCUACUAAGAAACAAUUCCAUGGUAACGUCUCUGCCACCAGUCGGUGAGUGUAACUUGUUGACGGUCCCUAGAACAGGUAGCAGCCAGGCCCAGAACGUAAAUGACGUUGUUGCACAGACAUCGAUGGCGCCAACAUGCGUUUGUGAUUUUUCGCGAUACGGUGUCCUAAACCGUCCUCAACAUACUAAGCCAGUAAUGUAUUGCACUUAUGUUGAUGAAUCCGAAUGGGUGGUAAACCGAAUAUCCGGCGAAUAUCAAACCGGUGUUUCAGUUCAAGUGGUGACCGGUUUAACUGGUGACUUUCAGCCGAAUGCUUCGCUUGUUGUCAUGGCUACGCCAGAUGUUGGAAAUCGGGACCAGACACGUAGCUGUCCUUGCGAUUGCCUCAUUGAUUUGUUAUUCAAUAAAAUGUCAAAAACAUUACAAUCUCAUUCGUUUUUGGAGUGUAAUUGGAAGAAACUUGUCACGUAGAACCGUUCUAAGCCGAAAUAAAUGGAAAAUGAAUGUUUAAAAUAUGAUACAUUACGGGAUUCGAAUUCAUACCAUUGCGGGGAAAAAAUAUAACAAUCCGCAAUUCCAUUCCAUUGUGCCGUUGACCCACUGGGGAAAUUACCGCCGUAGUAUAAUAGAAUUCGCAAAUACUUCUUGAAAACACGAAAGGCAGCCAGAUCAACUUGUGACCCUACUUUCCAUGUAGUUAUGACCAUGCAUUGGUCACGUAUCCCAAAAAUAAGACGCCUUUACAUCCAGUUAAUCCAAACCUAAUGUUGUGUUGCCCUCCACUGCUUGAAACUAGCCAAAAACCCUGUUAUGCGCUCAUUCGAUCAUUUCGGUCGCCUGAUGUGGUGUUGUCGCGUCCUCCUUCUUUAUAUCCUCUCUGUAAGCAAAGCAGCGACUUCGGAAAUCAAUGUGACGCAAGGCGAUAUCUCUUUGAGAAACAACGUUUAUUCACAUGAAAACAUACAUUUCGAGAUUCGAACUCGUACCAUUGUGGGGAAAAAUAUAACAAUCCGCAAUUCCAUUCCAUUGUGCCGUUGACCCACUGGGAAAUUCGCCGCCGUAGUAUACUAGAAUUCGCAAAUACUUCUUGAAAACACGAAAGGCAGCCAGAUCAACUUGUGACCCUACUUUCCAUGUAGUUAUGACUUUCUAAAAAAUAAGACGCCUUUACACCCAGUUAAUCCAAACCUAAUGUUGUGUUGCCCUCCGCUCUUGAAGCGUGGUAAAGUUAGUUUUUAUUGGACGUUGGAUAUUCGACACAUUCGAAAAAUCUAUUUAGCACUGGCUUCGAUGGACGAAUUUGUGUCAAACCAACUUAGAUGUGUUAAUACAAGGCCUACCUAUGUAAAACAAAGCACCAUUUGAUUUUAUAAAAAAAAAUGUAAUGUUAAAAAAGGCCAUAAAUCUAUUAUGCGGCUUGACCUUUUGACCUACCCAUAGCAAAACACAUCUGGUGUAAUCAACUAACUGCCCCACACAUAACACAAAGCUUAUUUUCUCAAAACACCUACCCUUUGAUUUUAUACUAUUAUUUUAAUGUUAAAAAAGGCUAUAAAUCUAUUAUGCGGCUUGACCUUUUGACCUACCCAUAGCAAAACACAUCUGGUGUAAUCAACUAACUGCCCCACACAUAACACAAAGCUUAUUUUCUCAAAACACCUAUCCUUUGAUUUUAUAAAUAUUUUUUUAACAUUAAAUUUAUUUUAUAAAAUCAAAACGUGGGUUUGUUAUAUAUAUUUUUUUUAAAUAAAAUAAGUCUGUUAAUCGCGCGAUAAAUUUUUUAACGCCGUUAAAAUUGGUUUGCGUUAACGCCGUUAAUAACGCGUUUAACUGACAGCUCUAAUUAUAUGGUAAGAACCUGGUAAUACCAUGGAAACAAACGAGGCUUCCUUUUACAGUACAGUUUCAGCUUAAUUACUGGGUAAAUUGUCGUGUUUAACUUGGUAACAUCGCAGAACGUACAUGGUACAAGUUUGUGUUGACUGCAUGUAAAAGGGAAUAAUGUAUUACAAAUUAUAUGGUAAGAACCUAGUAAUACCAAGGAAACAAACAAGGCUUCCAUUUACAGUACAGUUUCAGCUUAAUUACUGGGUAAAUUGGUGUGUUUUACUUGGCAACGUCGCAGAACGUACAUGGUACAAGUUUGUGUUGACUGCAUGGAUAAUGGAAUGUAUCUAUUAUAAAUUAUAUGGUAAGAACCUGGUAAUACCAUGGAAACAAACGGCUUUGUACCCAGUAUUUAAGAAGAUGUACCAUAACACUAGAGGAAAACUGUUCCUGCAGAGGUUUUUACCAGGUAAGUAAUUCCAUAGUGGUAAAUCGAAUAAACC